GGCAGACGGGAGAGUAACACGUGGGAACGUGCCCUUCAGUUCGGAACAACCCAGGGAAACUUGGGCUAAUACCGGAUACGUCCGAAAGGAGAAAGAUUUAUCGCUGAAGGAUCGGCCGCGUCUGAUUAGCUAGUUGGUGAGGUAACGGCUCACCAAGGCGACGAUCAGUAGCUGGUCUGAGAGGAUGAUCAGCCUCACUGGGACUGAGACACGGCCCAGACUCCUACGGGAGGCAGCAGUGGGGAAUAUUGGACAAUGGGCGCAGGCCUGAUCCAGCCAUGCCGCGUGGAUGAUGAAGGCCCUAGGGUUGUAAAGUCCUUUCGGCGGGGAAGAUAAUGACGGUACCCGCAGAAGAAGCCCCGGUAACUUCGUGCCAGCCGCCGCGG
rnacentral:rRNA from 1 species